AGGGAAGUUCUUCUGAAGCUGGGGAGGCUGGCGUUUGAACAUCUGGAGAAAGGAAACAUCAUGUUCUACCAAGAAGACCUGGAGCAGUGUGGUCUGGAUGUGACAGAGGCCUCGGUGUACUCAGGAGUUUGUACAGAGAUCUUCAAAAGAGAGUGUGUGAUCUUCCAGAAACCAGUCUACUGCUUUGUUCAUCUGAGCAUUCAGGAGUUUCUGGCUGCUGUCUACAUGUUCCACUGUUUCACCAAUAGGAACACAGAGGUGCUGAAGAACUUCCUCGGGAACAAAUAUAAAGAGUCAUCGUUGGAUGAUUUUCUGAAGCAAGUCAUGAGAAAAUCCCUCCAGAGUCAAAAUGGCCACCUGGACCUGUUUGUUCGCUUCCUUCAUGGCCUCUGUCUGGAGUCCAACCAGAGACUCUUAGUAGGUCUUCUGGGUCAGACAGAGAACAGUCCAGGAAUCAUCCAGAGAGUCACCAAGAACCUGAGGAAAGUGAACAGUGAUAAAAUCUCUCCUGACAGAAGCCUCAACAUCUUCCACUGUCUGAUGGAGAUGAACGACCUCUCAGUACACCAGGAGAUCCAAAAGUUCCUGAAGUCAGAGAAAGGAUCAAAGAAGAAACUCACUGAGAUCCAGUGCUCAGCUCUGGCCUUCAUGCUGCAGAUGUCAGAGGAGGUUCUGGAUGAGUUGGACCUGCAGAAGUACAACACAUCAAAACGGGGACGACUGAGACUGAUUCCAGCUGUGAGGAACUGCAGGAAGGCUCGACUGACUCGGUGUGGACUCUCAGAGACUCACUGUGAAGUUGUAGCUUCAGCUCUGAAGUCCAACCCCUCCCAUCUGACAGAGCUGGACAUGAGUGAGAACAAGCUGCAGGAUUCAGCAGUGAAGCUUCUGUGUGCUGGACUGGAGAGUCCAAACUGUCGACUGGAGACUCUGAGACUGAGUGGCUGUAACCUCUCAGAGAGAAGCUGUGAAGCUCUGUGCUCAGUUCUCAGCUCCUGUAGCCUGAGAGAGCUAGACCUGUGUAACAACAACCUGCAAGAUUCAGGAGUGAAGCUUCUGUCUGCUGCACUGCAGAGUCCACAUUGUACACUGGAAAUUCUGAGACUGAGUGGCUGCAACCUCUCAGAGAGAAGCUGUGAAGCUCUGUGCCCAGUUCUCAGCUUGCAGUCCUCUAGUCUGAGAGAGCUGGACCUGAGUCACAGUGACCUGGGGGAGUCAGGAGCGACACUUAUGUCUGCCGCACUGCAGAGUCCACACUGUAAAUUGGAAUCUCUAAGCCUGUCAGGCUGUCUGAUCUCAGAGGAAGGCUGUACUUCUCUGGCCUCAGCUCUGAGCUCCAACCCCUCCCAUCUGAGAGAGCUGGACCUGAGCUACAAUCAUCCAGGUGACUCAGGAAUGAAGCUGCUAUCGGCUGGACUGAAGGAUCCAGGCUGGAGAAUCGACACAAACACAGUGAACACAAAGCUCCAACUGUCUGACAACAACAGGAAGGUGACACAUGUGAGGAAGGUUCAGUCAUAUCCUGAUCAUCCAGACAGAUUUGAUGUUGUUCCUCAGCUGCUGUGUAGAAAUGGUCUGACUGGUCGCUGUUACUGGGAGGUCGAGUGGAGAGGAAGAGUUUGUAUAUCAGUGAGUUACAGAAGCAUCAGAAGGAAAGGAGGCAGUGCUGACUGUUUGUUUGGAUACAAUGAUCAGUCCUGGAGUCUAAUCUGCUCUGAUGAUGGUCCUCAGUCUGUCUGGCACAAUAACAGCUACACACCCAUCUCCUCCUCCUCCUCUGUCUCUAACAGAGUAGCAGUGUAUGUGGACUGUCCUGCUCGCACUCUGUCCUUCUACAGAGUCUCCUCUGACACUCUGAUCCACCUCCACACCUUCAACACCACAUUCACUCAAACUCUUUAUCCUGGGUUUACACUCUGGUCUCCUGGUUCCUCAGUGUCCCUGUGCUGA